GUGCUGGUUUCAGCAGCACAUGUUCUAAAACAUGUUCUAAAACUAAGAAAAUCAGCACAGCCCCUGUGCAGGAAUGACAGGCCAAUUCAUGAAGCGUUCUGUGUUUUU
ensembl:snRNA U6 U6 spliceosomal RNA